rnacentral:rRNA from 1 species
AGUGAACGCUGGCGGUAGGCCUAACACAUGCAAGUCGAACGGCAGCACAGAGGAGCUUGCUCCUUGGGUGGCGAGUGGCGGCCGGGUGAGUAAUACAUCGGAAUCUACUCUGUCGUGGGUGACAAAGUAGGGAAACUUACGCUAAUACCGCAGACGACCUACGGGUGAAAGCAGGGGAUCUUCGGACCUUGCGCGAUUGAAUGAGCCGAUGUCGGAUUAGCUAGUUGGCGGGUGAAAGGCCCACCAAGGCGACGAUCCGUAGCUGGUCUGAGAGGAUGAUCAGCCACACUGGAACUGAGACACGGUUCAGACUCCUACGGGAGGCAGCAGUGGGGAAUAUUGGACAAUGGGCGCAAGCCUGAUCCAGCCAUACCGCGUGGGUGAAGAAGGCCUUCGGGUUGUAAAGCCCUUUUGUUGGGAAAGAAAUCCAUCUGGUUAAUACCCGGGUGGGAUGACGGUACCCAAAGAAUAAGCACCGGCUAACUUCGUGCCAGCCGCCGCGGUAA